ensembl:lncRNA
GGUAGAAAGUGAGUGCAGAAAAUUUCAGACACGGUGGGAGAGUGAAUAUUUCUUCAAAGAAUUAAAGGGGAAGUGUGUCUGUUUGAUCUGCACUGAAACUGUGGCAGUUAUGAAAGAGUAUAAUGUACGACGUCAUUAUGAGACCAAACAUCAGGCCUAUGCAUCCUACACCGGUGCUGAGCGAGAGCAGAAAUUAAAGCAAAGGGUAGCUCUCCUGCGGGGUCAGCAACAGUAUUUGUUUCGUGCUCAAAUUGUCCAGGAAAAGGCUCCAAUAGCAGCUAUGAGGUCGCCCAACUCAUCGCAAAACAUGGCAAGCCUUUUACAGAUGGAGACCUCAUAAAACACGGCCUCGUUAAAGUCACCGAAAUAAUGUGCCUGGAAACAGUGCAGGACUUCAACAACGUCAGCAUGUCCAGAAAUACAGUUGUGCCACGCACUGAAGACUGUCAGCCAACAUUAAACUGCAACUGUCUGAUAAAGCUGUGCUUUUGAUUUUUACUCCAUCGCAUGUGAUCCGAGCACCGAUGCCACAGACACCGCACCACUGCAAAUUUUUUUUGCGGGGAGUGGACGAGAGCACGAGCGCUUUAGAGUACACACCGCUGUGCACAGCGCACGCACACGCAAAGUCAGCUGAUCUCAUCUGAUGCAGAUCUGCUCCUUCAUCAAGUGACAUUUGUCUGGAUUUUUGGCACGAGUGGCGUCGGAUCAGCACCGCGGCUGGAUGGCCCGAUUUACAUACCCAGCACAGCUGAUGCUCACCAGAAUAAUUUACUAAAAUUAUAUGCACUCCUGUUAUUAAGUCCAGUUCAGUCUGUUAAUGUUGAUAACCGUUUCAAACGAACGUUAAUAGGUGUGCUGCUAAGCCUAAGAACUUAAAUAACAAGCUUGAAAUGUCCCCGUCCCAUUUUCCCCUUUAUUGUUUUUCCUCUGUGCUGUAAAUCUGCUGUCCAAGAAGAAAUCUGCUGCUGUUCUGAGAAUGAGCUACCAAAGCUUUUUCUGAAUAAAUCAAUAAAGAUCCAUUUAUGGAAAGCUG